rnacentral:lncRNA from 1 species
AUGUUUGCACAGAGUGGGUGUGGGAAGGCUAUCAUCACCAUUUUGGGGGAUGUUCUUGCAUUUUCAGAUGUGGCAAGAGCUGUUGAGGUCCCCCAUGAGAACCCCAGCAGCCCUGCUCCAGGAUGCUUCAUCGUUGAGUUCCCUGACAACCCCAGGGACAGCAGAGAGCUCAGCACACAGGCUGCCUCCGGGUCACCCACCGACCCUUUCUGGGGGCUUCCACCAUCCCCUGGGUUCCUGCCUGAGCUGCAGUGUGGGUUGUCGCAGCUGUGCCCUGUCAUGCCACCUGUGAGUGCCCGGCUCAGUCCACAACUAACCACCUUGGCUGUCACCACACCUCCCUCAGCCCAAAGCGCACAGCCCACUGAGGAGGUGCAGCAAAGGGAGCCCCAGGUGGUUCAGGCUCACUCGCCUCCGUCACCAGGCUCUGUCCCCAGCCGGGUGGCAGAAAAGAAGAACAGGAGCAGCACCAAGCGGGCCAAGCGCCCUGAGCCUGCUGGCAUGCCCCAGAAAGGGGAGAGCUCCCAGCAGGAGCAGCCCACCAGCUGCACUCCAGCCAAGAAAAGGAAGCUGCCGCCAUGCAGGGAAAGAAUGGAGAGAAAAGGCCGCAAACACCCGUGCCAAGCAGAGCUGUCUGGGGCCAGCACAGGAGCCAGCAGCAGCGGGCAAGCGGGCACUGCCAGCGAGCUGCGCAUGCACUUGUUUAAAUCCAUCCAGGCCGUGCACCUGCUGGGGCAGAGGGUGACUGUGGUGGGGCCGGUGCGCCAGCCACCCUCUGUGUGGCCCCAAUCCUCACCCAGUGCUGGCCCUGCUGCCCUCCAGCCCCAACACAGCAGCACAGACAAGGCAGUGCUAGCAUCUCCAGGCAGCACGGUGCAAGAGGAGGGCACUGCCAAGAAGACAGCGCUGAGCUGCCUGUGCCCGUCCCUGCAGAGGAGCUCACUGCUGCAGAGGGACCCACCACCACCACCACCACCACCACCACCAGUGCUGCACCAGCAGCAGCCUCAGCCGCGACGCCCCGUGGACUUUGUGCCCUGCGAGGGGCCAUGGGCAGGCAGCGGUGCAGCACCCAUAGUGAUGGAGGAGUCGCUGCCCAUCACAGCCGAGCAGCGGCCCGAGCGGGAGCGCAUGAAGAAACUGGCCCAGGAGGAGCAGCAGCGGGCGGCCCAGCAGAUGAAGAUCGGCCCCGUGCAGUUCCUGGUGUAG